rnacentral:rRNA from 1 species
CGUACACUCCUGCGGGAGGCAGCAGUGGGGAAUAUUAGACAAUGGGCGCAAGCCUGAUCCAGCCAUGCCGCGUGAGUGAUGAAGGCCCUAGGGUUGUAAAGCUCUUUCACCGGUGAAGAUAAUGACGGUAACCGGAGAAGAAGCCCCGGCUAACUUCGUGCCAGCAGCCGCGGUAAUACGAAGGGGGCUAGCGUUGUUCGGAUUUACUGGGCGUGAAGCGCACGUAGGCGGACUAUUAAGUCAGGGGUGAAAUCCCGGGGCUCAACCCCGGAACUGCCUUUGAUACUGGUAGUCUUGAGUUCGAGAGAGGUGAGUGGAAUUCCGAGUGUAGAGGUGAAAUUCGUAGAUAUUCGGAGGAACACCAGUGGCGAAGGCGGCUCACUGGCUCGAUACUGACGCUGAGGUGCGAAAGCGUGGGGAGCAAACAGGAUUAGAAACCCUUGUAGUCCCAUGAU